AUGUCGUUCGGCGGAUUCGGCAACUUUGGUGGCUUUGGUGGCUAUGGGGACUUCGCCAACUCGGUGUCCGCGAUGGCGUUCAAGGUGUUGAAGGACGACGCGCCGCAGCUCAAUCAGCCGACGCGCGAACGCAGGGCCACGGCCAGCACCAGCGUCCCCGUGCCUAAGAUGGAAGUCAAGGAGCUCCCGUCCGGCGCGCUCGUCCUGGCCGUCGACGUGCCUGCCGGUGUCAGCCCCGCCGACGUCCGGGUCCAGGUCGAGGACGGCAACGUCCUCGUCAUCACCGGCGAGUGCGAGCACCCCGCCGCAGCGGAGGCGACGGGCAAGUUCGAGCGGAUCCGGUACCCGCCGCCGGAGAGCGCCGACCUGGACAGCAUCCGCGCCGAGUACAGGGACGGCGUGCUCUCCGUUACCGUGGAGAAGCUGCCGCCGCCCGGGACCAAGAAGCCGCGCAUCGUCGAGGUGAAGAUCAGCGCCGUAGGCGAUGAGCGCGGGUCGGCGUGA
rnacentral:rRNA from 1 species